AGGAAAAGAAACCAACAGGGAUUGCCUCAGUAACGGCGAGUGAAGCGGCAAAAGCUCAAAUUUGAAAUCUAGCACCUUCGGUGUUCGAGUUGUAAUUUGAAGAUGGUAACCUUGGGUUUGGCUCUUGUCUAUGUUCCUUGGAACAGGACGUCAUAGAGGGUGAGAAUCCCGUCUGAUGAGAUGCCCAUUCCUAUGUAAGGUGCUAUCGAAGAGUCGAGUUGUUUGGGAAUGCAGCUCUAAGUGGGUGGUAAAUUCCAUCUAAAGCUAAAUAUUGGCGAGAGACCGAUAGCGAACAAGUACAGUGAUGGAAAGAUGAAAAGAACUUUGAAAAGAGAGUGAAAAAGUACGUGAAAUUGUUGAAAGGGAAGGGCAUUAGAUCAGACUUGGUGUUUUACGAUUAUCUUCUCUUCUUGAGUUGUGCACUCGUAUUUCACUGGGCCAGCAUCGAUUCGGAUGGCAAGAUAAUGGCAGUUGAAUGUGGCUUCACUUCGGUGGAGUGUUAUAGCUUCUGCUGAUAUUGCCUGUCUGGAUCGAGGGCUGCGUCUUUUGACUAGGAUGCUGGCGUAAUGAUCUAAUGCCGCCCGUCU
rnacentral:rRNA from 1 species